UUACGGCCACAUCAAGUUGAAACACCGGUCCCCGUACGAUCACCGAAGUUAAACAACGUUGAGCCCGGCCAAUACUAGAUGGGUGCCUGCUUGGGAAUACCUGGUACCGUAAU